rnacentral:lncRNA from 1 species
UUCCCAGUCCUAUGUGAGGCGUACCUUGUUCUGACAGUGGAUGGGGAUAACGUUGGUUUGGACUCUGCUCUGGCCGGCAUCAGGGACGGAGGCAUUGUUGGUUGGAGGCUGAAACAAAACCCAGACCAUCAGCAUUAUCACCUUAACCUAACCCAGACGGACCAAUCAGCAUUAUCGCCUUAACCUAACCCAGACGGACCAAUCAGCAUUAUCACCUUAACCAAACCCAGACGGACCAAUCAGCAUUAUCACCUUAACCUAACCCAGACGGACCAAUAAGCAUUAUCACCUUAACCUAACCCAGACAGACCAAUAAGCAUUAUCACCUUAACCUAAUCCAGACGGACCAAUCAGCAUUAUCGCCUUAACCUAACCCAGACGGACCAAUAAGCAUUAUCACCUUAACCUAACCCAGACAGAGCAAUCAGCAUUAUCACCUUAACCUAACCCAGACGGACCAAUCCGCAUUAUCGCCUUAACCAAACCCAGACAGACCAAUCCGCAUUAUCACCUUAACCUAACCCAGACGGACCAAUCAGCAUUAUCGCCUUAACCAAACCCAGACAGACCAAUCCGCAUUAUCGCCUUAACCAAACCCAGACAGACCAAUCAGCAUUAUCAUAUUAACCUAAACCAGACAGACCAUCAGCAUUAUCAUAUUAGCCUCACCCAGACUGACCAAUCAGCAUUAUCGCCUUAACCUAACCCAGACCAAUCAGCAUUAUCAUAUUAGCCUCACCCAGACUGACCAAUCAGCAUUAGCACCUUAACCUAACACGGACCAAUAAGCACUGUUGUCAUUAUCAGGUUAUCACCCUGAAACUGUUUCUGUGAAGUGUCCCUCAGUGGUAACCUCUAUCACCACACAGUCAAAACUACAGGAAGUAGAAUCAUGGAGAGACUUCUUCUUUGGUUUAAUACAUUCAUACAGGCUAUGUUUCAGGUCUGGAGGGUCUGUGGAUAGAGGCUGUGUUUCAGGUCUGGAGGGUCUGUGGAUAGAGGCUGUGUUUCAGGUCUGGAGGGUCUGUGGAUAGAGGCUGUGUUUCAGGUCUGGAGGGUCUGUGGAUAGAGGCUGUGUUUCAGGUCUGGAGGGUCUGUUGAAACAGGCUGUGUUUCAGGUCUGGAGGGUCUGUGGAUAGAGGCUGUGUUUCAGGUCUGGAGGGUCUGUGGAUAGAGGCUGUGUUUCAGGUCUGGAGGGUCUGUGGAUAGAGGCUGUGUUUCAGGUCAAGAGGGUCUGUGGAUAGAGGCUGUGUUUCAGGUCUGGAGGGUCUGAUGAAACAGGCUGUGUUCUGGCACAUAAGAAACCAUAAGAUCACAGGAUGGUUAAGAAUCAUAAAGGGGGGGGGGUUCCUUCCGAGGGUAGAGACUUACGAGUUGUUGCUGGAACUCUCGAUAUCGAACACGGUUGGACCCAGAAGUGAAUCACACAGCUGACCAAAUUACACAAGACUUUACUUCUACGUUAACCAAGCUUAAUCAACAGUGUAAACUAGAUUUGUGUGGGGUUAGGUGUACAUACCCUUGGUCUGAAGUUGAUGAUCCUGUUGAGCUUGGCGAUCAGGCAGGGUUUCCCAUCCUUGAAGCCGAAGUUUUCGUCGUGACCAUCCAGACCAGAACAGGGUCCCAGCCAGGUCCGCUUGAACCUGCAGGCCUUCCUCACUCCAACGUCACUCUCCAGCUCACCACGGUCCACGUACGAUGCAGGUAAUUCUACAAGCACAGAGAGACACCUAUUAGAUCAGACAAUAUAGACCAGACACAGCAUAACUAAACCCUAACAGGAUACCUU